AUAUCAAAAUAACCUAUAGGAUUUAUAAUAAAUCUAAUUAGAUUAAAUUAAGAUUAAAUUUUAAAGUGUGUGAUUCAUUGGAUUUCAAAAUCUAGCUAGUAGUGGACUCAGGCUCAUGACCUAAACCAAACCGAUUAGAAUAGGUCAGCCCAAAUGCACCAAUUAAUCAAAAUUUUUUUUAAUUAAUUUUUGAAUUAAACUCUUUUAAUUCUUGCGAGUUCAUAAGUCAUGAUUGAUAUCUAGCAAUCUGUCAUGAUGACUCGAAAGAUAUGAAAUUUGAUAAAAAUACCAAAAGUAUCCUUCGAUGGCAAGUUACCUUGUAAUUCAAUCUUUCGACAUACAACACCCC
rnacentral:lncRNA from 1 species